UACGUAGGUUAUGGGUUACUUACAACGUCUCGGACGAAUUUACGGCCGGUUUCUUACAUCUGCCCAGCGCGUGGGUGCAGUAAGCCGAUGUGAACGAUAUCUAGUCAGUAUGUAGUAAAUUUCAUCCGGCAUUCUCUAUUGAACAUUCAAUAAAAAGCUCACUUGCCAAUUAAGUUUUAUCAAAUCUAUGUUUAUGUUGUGGUCGCAGGAACUGGUGGAGUUUUGUGGAGGGCAGGUUUGAGGAGCGGAGGUCUCUCCACCGGCAGCGGCGGACCAGCGCCAUCUGCGGUUAAUCAUCUGCGGCGACAGAGGAGCGAAUCGCGCUGAAGCUGUGUGGCGUAGUACGAGAGUAGCGGUGGUACAUUUUGUGUGGCUUUUUGCCACAAUUGCAGCCCAAAACAUCCAGUGGGUGGAGAGGUGCCUGGAUAAGGGGCGCCUGCUACCCAAGCUUCGCAUCGCAGGCUAGAAGCGAGAAGAUGCUGCUGAAUAAGGUGGCUGCUGUCAGCAAGGCGGCUGAAAAGUUCAAGGGACUGAAGCAGCAGCUCGAUCAGCUUCAACAAAUGCAAACACUAGAGGCUGAGAAUUGUGCAGCCACGGCCGAGCUGCGCGCCGAGGUGGAUCGCCUGCGCUCUGACCUUGCUGGCAGAGAUCAGCAAAUCUCGCACGUGUGUUAACAAAGAUACCUCGCUGAAGCAGAGCUCCACCAGAAUCAACAACGAGAGGCGAGAGGGCUCUGCAGAGAGGCUUUACCAAAUUACCAUUCCGCGCAUCGUCAUAAACGAGGACGAUGAUGAAGAGGCCCGAGACGAUGAGGCAAUACCCGAAAUGGUGCGAGUCACGUGCUUGCAUAUUUAACUCCCAUUUGGUA